UGAAGGAAAAUGCAAAAAGUGAGAAAAAUGCAAUGAAGAAAAUGCAAAGAAAGAGAAAAUCCAAUCAAACUGGGGCAAACUUCCUCGGUUUCGUUCAAAAUUAGAGAUAAUUUCAAAAUGAUGCAAUCUCAGGUUAUUUCACACCUUUCAUCAAACCUGCUUUCAAGCCUCAACUUUUCUUGAAAAACACCCCACCUGACCUCAUUACAAAAGCCCAAAGUCCUGGCUUUCGUCACUUGCUGCAUUUCUAUUAGGGAUUUUGCUAAUCAACUGGCAAGUGAUGUCCAUAAUGCCUUCGCCUAAUCUUACAAGGGAAGCGCAUUUUACUGAUGUCAGCAAUCUUCAGUUCAUACUCCUGAGUCGAUUAUGGUUGAGUUUUUCCAUUGUUUCCUUAGGUGAAAACCCACAAGGGCACCUCAA
rnacentral:lncRNA from 1 species